UGGGGAAUUUUGGACAAUGGGCGAAAGCCUGAUCCAGCAAUGCCGCGUGUGUGAAGAAGGCCUUCGGGUUGUAAAGCACUUUUGUCCGGAAAGAAAUCCUCUGGGUUAAUACCUCGGGGGGAUGACGGUACCGGAAGAAUAAGCACCGGCUAACUACGUGCCAGCAGCCGCGGUAAUACGUAGGGUGCAAGCGUUAAUCGGAAUUACUGGGCGUAAAGCGUGCGCAGGCGGUUUUGUAAGACGGAUGUGAAAUCCCCGGGCUUAACCUGGGAACUGCAUUCGUGACUGCAAGGCUAGAGUAUGGCAGAGGGGGGUAGAAUUCCACGUGUAGCANNUGAAAUGCGUAGAGAUGUGGAGGAAUACCGAUGGCGAAGGCAGCCCCCUGGGCCAAUACUGACGCUCAUGCACGAAAGCGUGGGGAGCAAACAGGAUUAGGAUACCCUGGUAGUCCACGCCCUAAACGAUGUCAACUAGUUGUUGGGGAUUCAUUUCCUUAGUAACGUAGCUAACGCGUGAAGUUGACCGCCUGGGGAGUACGGUCGCAAGAUUAAAACUCAAAUGAAUUGACGGGG
rnacentral:rRNA from 1 species